rnacentral:lncRNA from 1 species
AUACACUUUCUGUCUUUAUUAUCAUCUUCUCUGCUAUAGAAAGUGUUCCGAUGCAAGGCCACUAAAUUUAGUCUCAUUUUAUAGACAUUACAGAAACACAUUUAUUCCACCUGAAGGACUCAAAGGCCAUGGUGAAUGGGUUCCUAUCUAGGAAGAAAGUCAGCCUCAUUGAAUGGAAUCUUGUGAAAUUCUAGAUGUGAUUAUCUCCUCCAUUCUGAUGACAGCAACCACAAGGUUCAGGUUUACAGCAAUGCUAUCUGUACUUGUGGAAGCAGGAGACAACUGUAAGGAGAAGAAACCUCAUUGGCUCUUUAAUUUGCUCUUGCAGGGAAAAUAUAGAGAACGCAGGAAAACACCCAGAUUGAGAUUUGGCUGCCCAAGCUGCAAAUACUUAGGAAACCAAACAACUGGCCUGACCUCAAGCACAACCCAAAUUCUCGAACCUCAUAUAAAGUGUGAACCUAAGAUACUUAAGAGAAGCCACUAAUUUCUGGUUCAGAGUGAAAAUAAGGGCACCUACAAAACAGGGAGAGUGAGGAAAAAAAAUCUCAACAACUUGCAAAGGAAAAGAAAAUCAACAGACAGCAUACAAGAUAACAAAGAUGUUGAAAUUAUCAGACAAAGACUUUAAAGCAGUUGUUAUAAUCAUACUCAGGAAGUAAGGGCAAAUGCUCUUGAAACAAGGGAAAUAUAGAAAGUCUCAGUAGAAAAAUAAAAGCUAUAAAAAUAAUGGAGAGGAAUAUUAUAAAUAAAAACAAUAAUAACCAAAACAAAAAUUUCACUUGAUGCGUACAAAGUAAUUUCCAGAGGAAAGAGUCAGUAAACUUGAAGAUAGAUCAGUACAGAGUAUCUAACCUGAAAAAUGGAGAAGAAAAAUGAAGAAAAAAACAGAAUAGAGCCUAAGGAAACUAUGAGAAAAGACCCCAAAAUUUAACUUCUGCAUUGCUGGAGUAUCAGAUGGAGAGGAGAAGGAGUGUGGUACAGAAAAAAUAUUUGAAUAAAUAAUAUCUAAAAAUUUUCUAAUUUGGCAAAUGAUAUAAAUUUGCAUAUUCAAAAAACCCCAGUCCAGUGAACUCAAAACAGAAAAAAACAAAGAAAUGCAUGCAAAGACACAUUAUAAUCAAACUGAUGAGAACAAAAGACAAUAGAAAAAAAUAUCGAAAGCUGCCAAAAAUAAAUAAAUAAAUAAAAUAAAGAUGAAUGUUACCUAUAGGAUAACAACAAUUCAAAUUACUGCUGACUUGUCAUAAUGAACCAUGGAGGCUUUAAAGUAGUGGAACAUUUUUUAAAUGCUGAAAGCAAAACAGAUUCUGCCAACAACAACAACAUACCCUGCCAACUCAAAGUUCUGUAUACAGCAACUAUCUUUCAGGAAUGAAGUUGAAAUGAAAAUAUUCUCAGAUAAAAGAAAACAAAUAGAAUCUAUGACCAGCAUUAGGAGUGAAAGAAGACUAACAGAAAUGGAGUUGGGAUCUUUUCUGUUGUGUCUCAGAACUUCAGGGUUAAGACCCUUCCUGGGUGAUGGAUAAAGGAAGUCAUUGUCCAGAUGAAAGACUCAUGAACUUGGAGACAGGAAUGAAGCCAUUGAAGCAACUUGGACGUCGGGAAUUCACUGAAGACCAGACUAAAGAGGGGCUUGUUCUAAUAGAAAUUCAUCUAAAAAGUUGGAGAUUCUGUAGAAGAUCUGAUGAAGAGGGCCAAUCACUGAGGAAAAAUGGAUAGCAUCCUAAAACAGUGGGUAGUAAGGGAACCGGUAUGUCUGAUCUUUUAAAGGAAAGAGCAAUUAAAGAAAUCCUUACAGAUUCCUCCUGGCUGAAUUGUAGGCUCAAUUUCUUUAGAGUAUCUUCUGCUCCCAUCAAGCUUGCUGACACCUGUCUCUCUGAAUCAUACUAUUGUACUAAGAACAGAGAUUCAACAUCAGAUUAGAGUUUAAACACUGGUUUCUGCAAUAGUUAGGAGUCAUUGUGUCACAAGUGAUAGAUAAUCUAAUUCAAAUUGGCUUAAGCAUAAAAAGAAUUUUUGAUUCAAGUUCAUGCAAUUGUAAAGAUGAAACAGGACUCUAACAAAUAUCAUCAAAUCAAAAUAUCUCUUUAUUCUUUCUCUCUCUGUGACUGUCUGUC